AGUGAACGCUGGCGGUAGGCCUAACACAUGCAAGUCGAACGGCAGCACAGUAAGAGCUUGCUCUUACGGGUGGCGAGUGGCGGACGGGUGAGGAAUACAUCGGAAUCUACUUUUUCGUGGGGGAUAACGUAGGGAAACUUACGCUAAUACCGCAUACGACCUACGGGUGAAAGCAGGGGAUCUUCGGACCUUGCGCGAUUGAAUGAGCCGAUGUCGGAUUAGCUAGUUGGCGGGGUAAAGGCCCACCAAGGCGACGAUCCGUAGCUGGUCUGAGAGGAUGAUCAGCCACACUAGAACUGAGACAAGGUCCAGACUCCUACGGGAGGCAGCAGUGGGGAAUAUUGGACAAUGGGCGCAAGCCUGAUCCAGCCAUACCGCGUGGGUGAAGAAGGCCUUCGGGUUGUAAAGCCCUUUUGUUGGGAAAGAAAAGCAGCAGGUUAAAACCCCGCUGUUCUGACGGUACCCAAAGAAUAAGCACCGGCUAAAUUCGUG
rnacentral:rRNA from 1 species